UACAGAGACCUCAAGCAUUAUCCGGAUUUAUUGGGCGUAAAGAGCGUGUAGGCGGCCAGACAGGUCCGUUGUGAAAACUAGAGGCUUAACCUCUAGACGUCGAUGGAAACCGUCUGGCUAGAGUCCGGAAGAGGAGAAUGGAAUUCCUGGUGUAGCGGUGAAAUGCGCAGAUAUCAGGAAGAACACCCGUGGCUAAGGCGGUUCUCUAGUACGGUACUGACGCUGAGACGCGAAAGCGUGGGGAGCGAACAGG
rnacentral:rRNA from 1 species